AGAAUCUCCUUCCUAUCACCUUUCCCUCUCCAACUCUCCCUCUUCUGCUCGCGAAUCAACCCGAACACGCGCAGAGGAAGAGAGAUUCAUUCAAAACGCAUUUUUAACAAAGACGUCGCGAGAAUCACCUGAGCACGAGCAUAGCGGCCAUGGUUUCAGGAGAUGGGUAUGCGAUAAUUGGGACGGACACUCCAUCUCUUUCUUUGUUGCGAGAUAAAGACGGUGGCAUCGAAGGAAGGAAGGGAAGGGAAGGGAAAGAGAGAGUGAAAAGUUGCUUGUUUUCUUCAUGUUGCGGACACCCUGUUCCCUUUCCCGCAAGAAGCGUCUUUUUCUUGCGCAUUCGAUCUUCCUCGCGUGUUGAUCAGAACCAUUCCUAUAUCAAUUUAGCUUUUAGUUUAAGGCAUAAUGAAGAUGGGUCACUCUUCCAGAAUCCAGAUGUGUGAGUUGGUUCAGAAGGUUCUGCUUCAAUCUAGAUGAUCCAUUUGUGGGGGACAGCUUUUUAGGGAUGGGGGACCAUAUUGUGUUGCUCGUGAAUCGUUUAACUACUGACUCUACCUUAGAAGCUGCUAUUGAGAGUGAGGACAGGAUUCCACAGGUGUUAAUGUCUCCAAGUAAAGAAUCUAUGGCCGAUAUUUCUACUAGCGAGAUGAACAUGUCGAUCCUCUGCACUCCGAGGGAGUUGGUGCAGUGUAGGAUUUGCCAUGAUGAGGAUGAACACUUAAAUAUGGAAACACCGUGUUCAUGCUGCGGCAGCUUGAAGUAUGCUCACCGUGACUGUGUCCAGAGAUGGUGCAGCGAGAAGGGUGACACCACCUGUGAGAUUUGCUGCCAGCAAUUCACACCUAACUAUACAGCACCACCUCCUCUAUUCCCGCUUGGAAGUCUUCCGUUGAGCUUCAGGGAUAAUUGGGAUAUCACCAGAAGGGAUCUGCUCGAUCCACGUUAUGUAGCAACGGUUUCUUCUGAUAAUGAUUUUUCAGACACUGACUUUGAGGAUUACUCAACUACAUCUCCUGGGGGGUUGAUGUGCUUCCGCAUAGUUACCGUAAUUGUACUCUCUCUCUCUCUCUCUCUCUCUCGUGCAUGGACAUGUGCAGGAAUACACUUGUACCUCCACGUAGACACACACUCAUACCAUCUCAUGUAGUCCAUUAUACAAAUGUAUACUUGAAUAGAAUUAGCAGGAAAUAAUGAUGCCGAUAUUUCUGGCAGGAAACAUGGUUCUUAUUGAAUUUGUAUUGAAGAACUCAUCACAAUUUCGCGGGCAGUCUUGACUUUCAUUUUGUUACUUACAACACGGAUGGAUUUUUUAUUUUUCAUAUAUGGUAAAAUAGACCAAAAGGAACAUAUAUAGCAGACAAGUCGUUAACAUUGUUGUAGAGUGGCUCGUAGAUGAAUUCUGGGCCUGACCUCAAUCUGUUCAUGAGCCGUAUCCAAAUCUUACGUAGUCUUGUUCAAACUGUGCACACGUGGUAUCUUUCAAUGUAUCUCAUAGAACUUCUGUUUCCGGUUGAGCAACAGAAUAUUGUUUCAGCAGACUAUCUGCUCAUCCAGCUCUUUCGCUGUCCCCUCGUCUGUUCUUCAAGCUUCUCAUUGAUAUGUCCACGUAUUCCCUAAUUAUUACUGCCUCAAUUAUAUUCCAACAGUUGUCUACCAUUCUUCUGAGGAGGUAUUCAAGCUGAAGCUUUACACUGAAAACCGUUUAUGCUCCAAUGAAUAUCGCUAUAUGUUUAUUGGAGGUGGAUCAUAUUCCACAGGAACUCUAGUUGGCCUUAAAUUGCACACUUCUUUAAAGCUGUUCAUGUUUCUUAGUCCCGUUUGCUCUUACUUCUUAUUCAAGUAAGUGUUUCUUCUUUCUCAUUCAGAAGUUGCCAUACGAAGGAAUCUGCGUUAUUUAGAGUCAAGUACAGUACCAGUUCAACUGAUAAUUCCCCCCUUACUUGAUCUUACAAACAUUGGUGCAAGUCAUGGAAGUUACUGUUGCACAUCUAUGAUAUCUAGUUAUUUGAUUUCCUGCAUUUUAUGAAUUAAUUUUACCAAGAACAGGCUGGGCAUAUCCAUCUACAAUCUUUCUCCUAUUUUCUCCUAUUUAAGCUAGGAUAAGGGGAUUGAAACAUUUUCUCCUGGCCUUGUUGAAACAACGGUAUUGAGCCAAAGAAGUUACUUUUUUGCUGUUUGACAGUUUAUGGUUCUUCUAGUCCUGAAGCAAACUUUACCAAUUGUGCUUAUUGGAGCCGGAGAUUACUUGCUGACAUUGUUCACGGUACUUGUGUUCAUUAUGGCCAAAGUAUUUUCUGCCAUCCAGCGUCGACAUCAAC